rnacentral:rRNA from 1 species
UACGGAGGGGACUAGCGUUGUUCGGAAUUACUGGGCGUAAAGCGCACGUAGGCGGAUUUGUAAGUCAGGGGUGAAAUCCCGAGGCUCAACCUCGGAACUGCCUUUGAUACUGCAAAUCUCGAGUCCGGAAGAGGUGAGUGGAAUUCCUAGUGUAGAGGUGAAAUUCGUAGAUAUUAGGAAGAACACCAGUGGCGAAGGCGGCUCACUGGACGUGUAUACGCUGAGGAGCGAAAGCGUGG